rnacentral:rRNA from 1 species
GCUCCACCGAAAGAAAAAGAGUGGCGAACGGGUGAGUAACACGUGGGUAACCUGCCCAUCAGAAGGGGAUAACACUUGGAAACAGGUGCUAAUACCGUAUAACACUAUUUUCCGCAUGGAAGAAAGUUGAAAGGCGCUUUUGCGUCACUGAUGGAUGGACCCGCGGUGCAUUAGCUAGUUGGUGAGGUAACGGCUCACCAAGGCAACGAUGCAUAGCCGACCUGAGAGGGUGAUCGGCCACACUGGGACUGAGACACGGCCCAGACUCCUACGGGAGGCAGCAGUAGGGAAUCUUCGGCAAUGGACGAAAGUCUGACCGAGCAACGCCGCGUGAGUGAAGAAGGUUUUCGGAUCGUAAAACUCUGUUGUUAGAGAAGAACAAGGAUGAGAGUAAAAUGUUCAUCCCUUGACGGUAUCUAACCAGAAAGCCACGGCUAACUACGUGCCAGCAGCCGCGGUAAUACGUAGGUGGCAAGCGUUGUCCGGAUUUAUUGGGCGUAAAGCGAGCGCAGGCGGUUUCUUAAGUCUGAUGUGAAAGCCCCCGGCUCAACCGGGGAGGGUCAUUGGAAACUGGGAGACUUGAGUGCAGAAGAGGAGAGUGGAAUUCCAUGUGUAGCGGUGAAAUGCGUAGAUAUAUGGAGGAACACCAGUGGCGAAGGCGGCUCUCUGGUCUGUAACUGACGCUGAGGCUCGAAAGCGUGGGGAGCGAACAGGAUUAGAUACCCUGGUAGUCCACGCCGUAAACGAUGAGUGCUAAGUGUUGGAGGGUUUCCGCCCUUCAGUGCUGCAGCAA